UACGUAGGGGGCAAGCGUUAUCCGGAUUUAUUGGGCGUAAAGAGCUCGUAGGCGGCCGUUCGCGUCGGAUGUGAAAGCUCAGGGCUCAACUCUGAGAUGCCAUUCGAUACGGGACGGCUAGAGGUAGGUAGGGGAGAGUGGAAUUCCUGGUGUAGCGGUGAAAUGCGCAGAUAUCAGGAGGAACACCGAUGGCGAAGGCAGGUCUCUGGGCAUUAACUGACGCUGAGGAGCGAAAGCAUGGGGAGCGAACAGG
rnacentral:rRNA from 1 species